AACGAACGCUGGCGGCAUGCCUAACACAUGCAAGUCGAACGAGCCCUUCGGGUCUAGUGGCGCACGGGUGCGUAACGCGUGGGAACCUGCCCUUAGGUUCGGAAUAACUCCCCGAAAGGGGUGCUAAUACCGGAUAUUGUCUUCGGACCAAAGAUUUAUCGCCAUUGGAUGGGCCCGCGUUGGAUUAGCUAGUUGGUAGGGUAACAGCCUACCAAGGCGACGAUCAAUAGCUGGUCUGAGAGGAUGAUCAGCCACACUGGGACUGAGACACGGCCCAGACUCCUACGGGAGGCAGCAGUGGGGAAUAUUGGGCAAUGGGCGAAAGCCUGACCCAGCAAUGCCGCGUGAGUGAUGAAGGCCUUAGGGUUGUAAAGCUCUUUUACCCGGGAUGAUAAUGACAGUACCGGGAGAAUAAGCUCCGGCUAACUCCGUG
rnacentral:rRNA from 1 species